rnacentral:rRNA from 1 species
GACGAACGCUGGCGGCGUGCUUAACACAUGCAAGUCGAACGGAAAGGCCCUGCUUUUGUGGGGUGCUCGAGUGGCGAACGGGUGAGUAACACGUGAGUAGCCUGACCUUGACUUUGGGAUAACUUCAGGAAACUGGGGCUAAUACCGGAUAGGAGCUCCUGCUGCAUGGUGGGGGUUGGAAAGUUUCGGCGGUUGGGGAUGGACUCGCGGCUUAUCAGCUUGUUGGUGGGGUAGUGGCUUACCAAGGCUUUGACGGGUAGCCGGCCUGAGAGGGUGACCGGCCACAUUGGGACUGAGGUACGGCCCAGACUGCUACGGGAGGCAGCAGUGGGGAAUAUUGCACAAUGGGCGGAAGCCUGAUGCAGCAACGCCGCGUGCGGGAUGACGGCCUUCGGGUUGUAAACCGCUUUCGCCUGUGACGAAGCGUGAGUGACGGUAAUGGGGAAAGAAGCACCGGCUAACUACGU